UACGGAGGGGGCUAGCGUUGUUCGGAAUUACUGGGCGUAAAGCGCACGUAGGCGGCUUUGUAAGUUAGAGGUGAAAGCCCAGGGCUUAACCCUGGAAUUGCCUUUAAGACUGCAUCGCUAGAAUUGUGGAGAGGUAAGUGGAAUUCCGAGUGUAGAGGUGAAAUUCGUAGAUAUUCGGAAGAAACACCAGUGGCGAAGGCGACUUACUGGACACAUAUUGACGCUGAGGUGGCGAAAGCGUGGGGAGCAAACAGG
rnacentral:rRNA from 1 species